UGAGGAAUAUUGGUCAAUGGGCGGGAGCCUGAACCAGCCAAGCCGCGUGAGGGAUGAAGGCCCUAUGGGUCGUAAACCUCUUUUGUCAGGGAACAAAAGCGAGUAUGUAUACUGGUCUGAGUGUACCUGAAGAAAAAGCAUCGGCUAACUCCGUGCCAGCAGCCGCGGUAAUACGGAGGAUGCGAGCGUUAUCCGGAUUUAUUGGGUUUAAAGGGUGCGUAGGCGGCGGUGCAAGUCAGCGGUAAAAGCCCGGGGCUCAACCCCGGCGAGCCGUUGAAACUGCAGUGCUAGAGAAGGCGAGAGGUACGCGGAAUGCGCAGUGUGAGCGGUGAAAUGCUUAAGAUAUUGCGCAGUGAACUCCGAUUGCGAACGGCUAGACGUACUGGCGCCUGCACUGACGCUGAGGCACGAAAGCGUGGGGAUCGAACAGGAUUAGAUACC
rnacentral:rRNA from 1 species